rnacentral:rRNA from 1 species
CUGCCGGCAGUCAUAUGCUUGUGUUAAAGAUUAAGCCAUGCAUGUCUAAAUCUAAUUGGUAUCAGUGAAAUUGCGGAAGGCUCAUUAAAUCGGCAAUAAUUGAAUAGGGAGAAAUAUCUACGGAUAUCUCCGGUAAUUCUAGAGUUAAUACGUGUCCCUUCGGGGAAGUGAGGGGGUGUUCAAAUAGGUCGUGGGUAACCACUAGACAAUAAGGUGAUUCACCCCCCUUUCAUACCCUUUUAUUAGGGUAUCUUUAUUCAAUUUCCGAUCUAUCAGUUAGUUAGUACUUUAGGGUAUUACUAAGACGAUAACGGGUGACGGGGAACUAGGGUUCGGUUCCGGAGAAGGAGCCUGAGAGACGGCUCCUACUUCCAAGGAAGGCAGCAGGCGCGCAAAUUACCCAAUCUUAACCGAGGGAGGUAGUGACAAUAUAUAACAAUGGGUAUCUUUGAUACCUAAUUGGAAUGAAUACAAUGUAAAAAAUUUAAUGAGUAACAAUUAGAGGGAAAGUCUGGUGCCAGCAGCCGCGGUAAUUCCAGCUCUAAUAGCGUAUAUUAAAGUUGUUGUGGUUAAAAAGCUCGUAGCUAAAAUGCAAUGGGAUUCUAGUACUUGAAUUUAGGUUCAGUAUGUGAAACCCUUGUUUUAAUUGGGAUGGGAUAUCCUUAAUUGGGUGUUCAGUACCAUUUAAAAGUUAACCCCAAAAAAAUACACUGGCUAAAGCAAGAUUUUAUGUCUGAAGACAAAAGUGGGGUAUUAUAAAAUAUGGGGUAUGUACCUUUGACCGGGGUGCAUGUCCAAUGAUUAAUAGAGAUGAUCGGGGAUAUUCAUAUAACGAGGGGAGAGGUGAAAUUCUUGGAUCCCCGUUAGAUGCCCAAGCGCGAAGGCAUUUAUCAAGGGUGUCUUCAUUAGUCAAGAACGAAAGUUAGGGGAUCGAAGACGAUCAGAUACCGUCGUAGUCCUAACCUUAAACUAUACCGACCAGGGAUUGCAGGAAAACAAAAUAUGACUCCUCCAGCACCUAGAAAGAAAUUAGAGUCUGUGGGUUCCGGGGGGAGUAUGGUCGCAAGGCUGAAACUUAAAGGAAUUGACGGAAGGGCACCACCAGGAGUGGAGCCUGCGGCUUAAUUUGACCCAACAC